rnacentral:rRNA from 1 species
GACGAACGCUGGCGGCGUGCUUAACACAUGCAAGUCGAACGGAAAGGCCCUGCUUUUGUGGGGUGCUCGAGUGGCGAACCGGUGAGUAACACGUGAGUAACCUGCCCUUGACUUUGGGAUAACUUCAGGAAACUGGGGCUAAUACCGGAUAGGAGCUCCUGCUGCAUGGUGGGGGUUGGAAAGUUCCGGCGGUUGGGGAUGGACUCGCGGCUUAUCAGCUUGUUGGUGGGGUAGUGGCUUACCAAGGCUUUGACGGGUAGCCGGCCUGAGAGGGUGACCGGCCACAUUGGGACUGAGAUACGGCCCAGACUCCUACGGGAGGCAGCAGUGGGGAAUAUUGCACAAUGGGCGGAAGCCUGAUGCAGCAACGCCGCGUGCGGGAUGACGGCCUUCGGGUUGUAAACCGCUUUCGCCUGUGACGAAGCGUGAGUGACGGUAAUGGGUAAAGAAGCACCGGCUAACUACGUG